ACUCGCAGCGAGCGAACAAAAUUGUCGUCGCCCUGUACAAUUACACGGCCCGAGAGAGUACGGAUGUGAGUUUCAUGAAGGGAGACCGCAUGGAGGUGCUGGACGAUUCCGAGCCCGACUGGUGGAAGGUGCUCCAUCUCACGACCCUCCAGGAGGGACUCAUACCCUUCAACUUUGUCGCCGUCGAACGAUCCGUCGAAAGCGAAGACUGGUUUUUCGAGAACGUGUCGCGCAAGGAAGCCGGCAAGCUACUCCUGGUGGACGAGAACCCCCGCGGUACCUUCCUGGUGCGGCCCAGCGAGCACAACCCGCGCGGCUACAGUCUCUCGGUUAAGGACUGGGAGGAGGGCCGGGGCCACCACGUCAAGCACUACAAGAUCAAGCCCCUGGACAACGGCGGCUUCUUCAUCGCCACCAACCAGACCUUCCCGACCCUCCAGGCCCUCGUCAUGGCUUACAGCAAAAACGCCCUGGGCCUGUGUCACGUGCUGUCGAAGCCGUGUCCAAAGCCACAGCCGGACAUGUGGGAUCUGGGCCCGGAGCUCAGGGACAAGUGGGAGAUCGACCGCAAGGAGAUCCAGCUGAUCAGGAAACUCGGGUACGGGCACUUUGGCGAGGUCUACUACGGCAAGUGGCGCAACAAGAUCGAGGUGGCCGUCAAGACCCUCAGACCCGGCACCAUGUCGACCGAGGCUUUCCUGCAGGAGGCAGCGAUAAUGAAGCAGUUCCGGCACCGGCACCUGGUCGCCCUCUACGCGGUCUGCUCGAAGGAGGAGCCGAUCUACAUAGUCCAGGAGUACAUGUGCAACGGCAGUCUGCUCGAUUUCUUGCGCACCGGCGACGGCAAGUACAUGCAGUUCGAGGACCUGAUCUACAUCGCGGCCCAGGUCGCCUCGGGCAUGGAACACCUCGAGAGUAAGCAGCUCAUACACAGGGACCUGGCCGCCCGCAACGUGCUCAUCGGUGAGAAGAACAAGGCCAAGAUCUGCGACUUUGGCCUGGCGAGGAUCAUCGAGGACGACGAGUACUGUCCGAAACAGGGUAGUCGCUUCCCGGUCAAGUGGACCGCACCCGAGGCCAUCGUCUACGGACGCUUCAGCAUCAAGAGCGACGUCUGGUCCUACGGCAUCCUCCUCAUGGAACUCUUCACCUACGGACAGGUUCCCUACCCUGGUAUGCACGGCCGGGAGGUGAUAGAGCAGGUGAACAACGGCUACCGCAUGCCGAAGCCAGUCAACCACCCGCUGCCGGACAGCAUCUACCGGCUGAUGUUGCAGUGCUGGGACGCGGUGCCGGAGAAGCGGCCGACCUUUGAGUUCCUCAACCACUACUUCGAGUCGUUCAACGUCACGAGCGAGAUACCGUAUUUGGAGCCGCCGACGGACUGAUACAUGACGGCCGCGGCGGCCGCGUCCCACCUAGUGCCACACCACCACCAUCAUCACUACCAUCCGCAUAACGUCAACUGUGCCAUGGAAUUUUACGGUAUUUACUGUUGAAGGAGCUUGUAAUGCUGUCUGCACAUACUGCCACACGUGGAUGUAUCGAAUGCGACUCUCUCUCUCUCUAUUUUUUUUUUUUUUACUUAUUGAGCGUCAGGCAAAGUACGACGAGGCUGAGCUGAGCUCGAAAUGAAAAAAAUAUGUCGAAACGUGACGUUUUGGGGAACAUUUUGUAAUCGACGGGGAACUUUUUGCGUAUUAAUUUUACUCUGUUGUGCGGGUAGGUAAGGUAAAAUGCAGCUGACAAUUAACAAACAAAAGUCAAUUUCCAGAGAAAUCGAAAACAAAAAAAAAAAAAGCUACGUUUGGGUACUAAGCCGACCCUGGCAAAGGUGCUUCUGUAUACGCACUGAAUAUCGUUCGAUAGGUAGCCGAUAACAAAGAAUCACACAGUUCAGUGCAAAGUAUCAACGACGAUUGACUCCAGGUGCCAUAAUAGCGCACGUCCACAAUUCCAGAAACACGUAUAGGUAGAUGUGCGCGCGCGCGCGACGCCGGUAAUCGUUAUUUAUUGUUUACUGAUGUAUAAAAAAAAAAAAUAACAAAAAAAAACAAAAAACAAAACAAAAAUACAUAAACGUAAGUCGCACAUGACAACAGUCACCAUGACACGGAAUGUCUGUAUAAAUGGUUUUUGUAGAGUCAUUUUUACGUGAUGCCGACUGAACGAAGGAGAAAAAGGUUUAACUGUAACCCAUCACUGGAUAAAAAAGGGUUAUUGAAGUAACGACGAGGUCUUGGUAAAGUAAUUUUUAACAUAGUAUUUUUAAGAAGUAGGUCUG
rnacentral:misc_RNA from 1 species